rnacentral:tRNA from 2 species
GCCGCGGUGACAGAGUGGAAAUGUGCUGGCCUCGAGAGCCAGUGGCCCCUUGGGCCACAGGGGUUCGAAUCCCCUCCGCGGCGCCA